AGCGAACGCUGGCGGCAGGCUUAACACAUGCAAGUCGAGCGCCCCGCAAGGGAGCCGGCAGACGGGUGAGUAACGCGUGGGAACGUACCCUUUGGUCUGGAAUAACUCAGGGAAACUUGAGCUAAUACCGGAUAAGCCCUUUUUGGGGAAAGAUUUAUCGCCGAAGGAUCGGCCCGCGUCCGAUUAGCUAGUUGGUGUGGUAAUGGCGCACCAAGGCGACGAUCGGUAGCUGGUCUGAGAGGAUGAUCAGCCACACUGGGACUGAGACACGGCCCAGACUCCUACGGGAGGCAGCAGUGGGGAAUAUUGGACAAUGGGCGCAAGCCUGAUCCAGCCAUGCCGCGUGAGUGAUGAAGGCCUUAGGGUUGUAAAGCUCUUUCACUCGCGACGAUAAUGACGGUAGCGAGAGGAGAAGCCCCGGCUAACUUCGUGC
rnacentral:rRNA from 1 species